rnacentral:rRNA from 1 species
GAGUUUGAUCCUGGCUCAGGAUGAACGCUAGCGGCAGGCCUAAUACAUGCAAGUCGAACGGGAUCGGGGGCUUCGGUCCCCGUGAGAGUGGCGCACGGGUGCGUAACGCGUGAGCAACCUGCCCGUCCCAGGGGGAUAGCCCGGAGAAAUCCGGAUUAAUACCGCAUGAGAAUGCAGGUCCGCAUGGGCCUUCAUUUAAAUAUUCAUAGGGGACGGAUGGGCUCGCGUGACAUUAGCUGGUUGGCGGGGUAACGGCCCACCAAGGCGACGAUGUCUAGGGGCUCUGAGAGGAGAAACCCCCACACUGGUACUGAGACACGGACCAGACUCUACGGGAGGCAGCAGUAAGGAAUAUUGGUCAAUGGGGGGAACCCUGAACCAGCCAUGCCGCGUGCAGGAAGACGGCCCUACGGGUUGUAAACUGCUUUUGCACGGGAAUAACCCCCGGUAUGUAUACCGGGCUGAAUGUACCGUGAGAAUAAGGAUCGGCUAACUCCGUG